rnacentral:rRNA from 1 species
GACGUAGGGCGCGAGCGUUGUCCGGAUUUAUUGGGCGUAAAGAGCUCGUAGGCGGCUUGUCGCGUCGUCCGUGAAAACCUGCAGCUCAACUGCAGGCUUGCGGUCGAUACGGGCAGGCUCGAGUUCGGUAGGGGAGACUGGAAUUCCUGGUUGUAGCGGUGAAAUACGGCAGAUAUCAGGAGGAACACCGAUGGCGUAGGCAGGUCUCUGGGCCACUACUGACGCUGAGAAGCGAAAGCAUGGGGAGCGAACAGG